UACGGAGGAUCCAAGCGUUAUCCGGAUUUAUUGGGUUUAAAGGGUGCGUAGGCGGCCUAUUAAGUCAGGGGUGAAAUUUUUCGGCUCAACCGGAAGCUUGCCUUUGAUACUGAUAGGCUUGAUUACACUUGAGGUAGGCGGAAUGUGACAAGUAGCGGUGAAAUGCAUAGAUAUGUCACAGAACACCAAUUGCGAAGGCA
rnacentral:rRNA from 1 species